ensembl:lncRNA
CCUACUCAUGGAUGCCCGAGCAGAUCCUCUUCCUUUGGAGCUUCUGUCAGGCAGAGGUACUAUUCCUGGAGCACACAUAAUGGUGGAGCUUCCAUCUUUUGUAGCACUUUGUGGAAGUUUAAUGCAGUCUUAUGCAUUCCUCUUAAAGAAAACCCUCAGUGCUUUCACAAUGAAGACUUGCAGAUGGUAAAACACACCACGGCGACAGAAGAUGGCUGGGCAAAGAAAAGUGUUGUCUGGAGUGGUGGAGGUGAGGAAAUGUGCAGUUAUACAGUGACCCAUCAUCAUGCUGACUGUCUCGCCACUGGGGGAUCAGGAAGGCAACCCAGUAACAACUGCCCUAACAGUACAGAGCCACGUCACUGUUCCUGCACCAAAAUCAAAGCCAUUUCUUUGUCCCGAGUUACUGCUGAGCCUGCUGCAGACACACAGAGUGCCGGGAAGGCAGCAGUUCUCAAGGAAGACGAGAACCACCACAGUCUGCCUCUGAUACUGCAUGAUGGGAUGUACAGCUCAUGGCGUGCUGGAAUUAUUGAC